rnacentral:rRNA from 1 species
AGUGAACGCUGGCGGCGUGCCUAAUACAUGCAAGUCGAACGGAGAUUAAAUAGCUUGCUAUUUAAUCUUAGUGGCGCACGGGUGAGUAAUGUAUAGUUAAUCUGCCCCAUAGUGGAGGACAACAGUUAGAAAUGACUGCUAAUACUCCAUACUCCUUCUUAUCAUAAGUUAAGUCGGGAAAGUUUUUCGCUAUGGGAUGAGACUAUAUCGUAUCAGUUAGUUGGUAAGGUAAUGGCUUACCAAGGCUAUGACGCGUAACUGGUCUGAGAGGAUGAUCAGUCACAUUGGAACUGAGACACGGUCCAAACUCCUACGGGAGGCAGCAGUAGGGAAUAUUGCGCAAUGGGGGAAACCCUGACGCAGCAACGCCGCGUGGAGGAUGACACUUUUCGGAGCGUAAACUCCUUUUGUUAGGGAAG